rnacentral:rRNA from 1 species
UAUUGCACAAUGGAGGAAACUCUGAUGCAGCGACGCCGCGUGAGGGAAGACGGUCUUCGGAUUGUAAACCUCUGUCUUUGGGGAAGAAAAUGACGGUACCCAAAGAGGGAGAUCCGGCUAACUACGUGCCAGCAGCCGCGGUAAUACGUAGGGAGCGAGCGUUGUCCGGAAUUACUGGGUGUAAAGGGAGCGUAGGCGGGCGAGAAAGUUGAAUGUUAAAUCUACCGGCUUAACUGGUAGCUGCGUUCAAAACUACUUGUCUUGAGUGAAGUAGAGGCAGGCGGAAUUCCUAGUGUAGCGGUGAAAUGCGUAGAUAUUAGGAGGAACACCAGUGGCGAAGGCGGCUUACUGGACUGUAACUGACGUUGAGGCUCGAAAGCGUGGGGAGCAAACAGG